rnacentral:rRNA from 1 species
CCCUACGGGGCGCAGCAGGCGCGAAAUCUUUACAAUGCGGGAAACCGCGAUAAGGGGACACCGAGUGCCAGCAUUUAUGUUGGCUGUCCACAUGUGUAAACGGCAUGUGUUAGCAAGGGCCGGGCAAGACCGGUGCCAGCCGCCGCGGUAACACCGGCGGCCCGAGUGGUAAUCACUUUUAUUGGGUCUAAAGGGUCCGUAGCCGGUUUGAUCAGUUCUUCGGGAAAUCUGACAGCUCAACUGUUAGGCUUCCGGGGAAUACU